UUAAGAGUGGGGUUAGGUGAGCACAUUAAAAAGCAUUGAUGCAGCUCAGAUUGCACUGCACCAGUUCUGCAUUCAGACCCCUCUCACCCUGCAGGGCACCGGAUCUUCAGUAACGAGAUUGGUAAUCCUUGCACAUGAUGUUCAUAUCUUUAAAUAUUAUUUGAAAAUGUUAAUACAUUUUUAAAUAAUAGUUUAAGAUUUGAACAUAUAAUAACAUUAGUAAAUGUUACAUUAGUAAAAACAAAAGUUUACUAAUCCCAUUAGCCUAUUAGUUCCUCAUCACUACAGCAAGAGUGCUCUUAGGAUUUUGUUAAUGUGGUGGCAUGGGACAGAGGAACUAAUAGGCUCAUGGGAUUAGUAAACAUUUUAUAUUUAAUAGCCAUUUGAUCCUUAAUCAAAUGCUAAGUUUUAUCUUCAUCAUAAUCUACACUACUACACCAUAAAGCAUCUAAGAAACCUGUUUUGAUAUAUUUGCAUUAAAAUUAUGGUUUGUUUAUCUAGAUUCUUUUGGUAAAUUUGUGAACAAAAGUUAUUGAUGAUUGAAGUCAACAGAUAAUGCCAAAAAUAAAAAAUAAAAAUGUCAAGCAACCUCUCAGAUAUCAAUCAAAAUUUGCAAUAUUCCAUCUAGAUAACUUAACUGAAUGUUUUGUCUGGUUUUGUGUGGAUUUAGAUGAACAUUUAUGUUAAUGCUGAUGUUGAUUCUCAUUAGAUUUGCCAGCUGUCACUACUUGGUGGACUCAACUUGCAGGACACUGUGAGACGCAUGUUAAGCCAUGUUUUAACAAACAGGUUGGCAUCCCAUUUUAAUUGGGCUGGACGUGGAAAGAAAAGGAGCUUUGAAGCCUCAAAUUUGCAAAAGACAAUGUUCCGUGCAUUAAGAAAUACUUCCCAGGGGAAAGAAGCAUCAAAAACAGACUUUAGCGAAGUAGUAAAAAAAUGGUUACGUUACGCUCCAGACAGAGAUGGUGGCAGUGGACGACAAUAAGUUCCAAAAUGAGAUCUUGCUAAUCAGUUUGUUUUGUUUUGUUGUGUUGACUGUUGACAGUUUCAUCUAAUUUUCAAAAUUUUUAAAUGACAUUAAAUUUAAGAAAAUUUUUAAAUAAAAAAGUGUAUUAGCAUCUUAUUGUCAAUAAAGGUGUAAGUCUUUUAGGUGUUCAGUUUUAAACAUAAUAAAAUUAAUAAUA